ensembl:lncRNA
AAAUCAGAAAACAUAAUUAGUCUGCAUGAAACGAUAUUUAGACUAAAUUUUAUUUAUAGCUUACAUUUGUCAGAUAUGAAUAGAUUUUGUUACUUACGAAGUCCCAUGGUUUCCUCGAUGACUAAUAAAAAUAACUCACGCGAUGUUUAAAUAGUGUCUACCGGCUUGCUACCGAGGUAAAGUCGGUUUUAUAUUAAGAGAUUCAACAGACAUUCGCAGUAAUCUUAUUUGAAAGUAAAAAACUACUUGUAUUCUUCACUGAUAACUAUGAGAGCCAUUUCAUGAGUGAAUAUUAUGGUCUGUCAUAGAUCAGUAAAAAGUUUUGAAAUAUAUUUACAGCGAAUGUCGGUUGAAUGUCCGUUGAAUAUCUUAAUAUAAAACCAAUUUUACCUCGGUCAAAUUUCUGGGGAAACGAAACUCAAAUGCCCCAGCUAACAAGUUACGUAACCACGACCAACCUUGACGUUACGGAUUGGUAAUGUCAAAAAAAACAAAAAAAAUCUAUAUAUAUAUAUAUAUAUAUAUAUAUAAGAUAUACCUGGCAAACUAGCUACUGCAGCCAGCAAACUGUACUGUAUGACUACGUUAAACAAACAUCCGUUUAGUUCGGCAAGCCGACAUCAAGGAAUCUCAGGUGCCCCAACGGGUCCAACGGCAGAGGAAGAUGAAGAUAGAAUUGAAGACCACUCAGACUCAUUUUUGACAACACGAAAUAGUAAAGUGUCCGUCUUUGCUUGUGUAAUUGUAUUUUGUCAGUUGGAUAAUAUUCAUUGUUUCAAUUUAUUGUUAAUUUCUUCUCAUCUUCAUGAUUUCACAAUUCUUAACCAUUUGAAAAGAAACCAAUGAAGAGUAAAUCAUUCAUAUUGGCUUGUGUUCUUAUAUUUUAAUUAUUUGUAACAUGGCCAGUUUGAUAAUAUUUGACUGUUGACCAACUUGGGAGUGUGGUGCAUGGG